AUUGAACGCUGGCGGCAUGCCUUACACAUGCAAGUCGAACGGCAGCACGGGUGCUUGCACCUGGUGGCGAGUGGCGAACGGGUGAGUAAUACAUCGGAACAUGUCCUGUAGUGGGGGAUAGCCCGGCGAAAGCCGGAUUAAUACCGCAUACGAUCCACGGAUGAAAGCGGGGGACCUUCGGGCCUCGCGCUAUAGGGUUGGCCGAUGGCUGAUUAGCUAGUUGGUGGGGUAAAGGCCUACCAAGGCGACGAUCAGUAGCUGGUCUGAGAGGACGACCAGCCACACUGGGACUGAGACACGGCCCAGACUCCUACGGGAGGCAGCAGUGGGGAAUUUUGGACAAUGGGCGAAAGCCUGAUCCAGCAAUGCCGCGUGUGUGAAGAAGGCCUUCGGGUUGUAAAGCACUUUUGUCCGGAAAGAAAUCCUUGACUCUAAUACAGUCGGGGGAUGACGGUACCUGAAGAAUAAGCACCGGCUAACUACGUG
rnacentral:rRNA from 1 species